rnacentral:lncRNA from 1 species
AGAAAUGAAAAAAAAAUAAAAUCCGUCCCAAAAUAUCUGCCCCAAGCCUAUAUAUGUACAAUACUGAUGGGUCGGGUCGGGUGAUCCGGCCCAAAGCUAAAUAAGUGAAUGUGGGCUCAGAUAUAUGAUCAUCAUAGCCCAUUACAUAAGUAUACCAUGAGUAUACAGUAGAUAUAUAAUGAGUAUACAAUGAAUGUGUCACUUAUCCUUUGGCUUGGAGGCCAUAUACUCUCUCAUCUC